rnacentral:rRNA from 1 species
UACGAGGGGGGCUAGCGUUGCUCGGAAUCACUGGGCGUAAAGCGCACGUAGGCGGCUUUUUAAGUCAGGGGUGAAAUCCUGGAGCUCAACUCCAGAACUGCCUUUGAUACUGGGAAGCUUGAGUCCGGAAGAGGUGAGUGGAACUCCGAGUGUAGAGGUGAAAUUCGUAGAUAUUCGGAAGAACACCAGUGGCGAAGGCGGCUCACUGGUCCGGUACUGACGCUGAGGUGCGAAAGCGUGGGGAGCAAACAGG